rnacentral:rRNA from 1 species
UUCCUACGGGGGGCAGCAGUGGGGAAUAUUGCACAAUGGGGGAAACCCUGAUGCAGCAACGCCGCGUGAGUGAAGAAGGUUUUCGGAUUGUAAAGCUCUGUUAGCAGGGAAGAGGAAGGACGGUACCUGCAGAGGAAGCCACGGCUAACUACGUGCCAGCAGCCGCGGUAAUACGUAGGUGGCAAGCGUUAUCCGGAUUUAUUGGGUUUAAAGGGUGCGUAGGCGGAAUGCCAAGUCAGCGGUAAAAUCGCGGGGCUCAACCUCGCUCCGCCGUUGAAACUGGCGUUCUUGAGUGGGCGAGAAGU